GACGAACGCUGGCGGCGUGCCUAAUACAUGCAAGUCGAACGCUUCUUUCCUUCCGAGUGCUUGCACUCAAUUGGAAAGAGGAGUGGCGGACGGGUGAGUAACACGUGGGUAACCUACCCAUCAGAGGGGGAUAACACUUGGAAACAGGUGCUAAUACCGCAUAACAGUUUAUGCCGCAUGGCAUAAGAGUGAAAGGCGCUUUCGGGUGUCGCUGAUGGAUGGACCCGCGGUGCAUUAGCUAGUUGGUGAGGUAACGGCUCACCAAGGCCACGAUGCAUAGCCGACCUGAGAGGGUGAUCGGCCACACUGGGACUGAGACACGGCCCAGACUCCUACGGGAGGCAGCAGUAGGGAAUCUUCGGCAAUGGACGAAAGUCUGACCGAGCAACGCCGCGUGAGUGAAGAAGGUUUUCGGAUCGUAAAACUCUGUUGUUAGAGAAGAACAAGGACGUUAGUAACUGAACGUCCCCUGACGGUAUCUAACCAGAAAGCCACGGCUAACUACGUG
rnacentral:rRNA from 1 species